ensembl:misc_RNA Metazoa_SRP Metazoan signal recognition particle RNA
GCUGGGUGUGGUGGCUCAUGCCUGUAAUCCAAGCACUUUGGAGGCCAAGACGGGCGGAUCAUCUGAGGUCGGGAGUUCAAGACCAGCCUGACCAACAUGGUGAAACCCCGUCUUUA